UGAGCGCAGCUGAGAGAGGGUACUAUUCCCUCCUUCAUGUUGUGCUUUCUCUGAAAUGUAUACCACAUUUUUAACAGGACUAGAUUCAUCAUGCAUGGGAAUUUCCAGAUGUUGAAGUUCUUCAGGAGGUAGUAGCUUCAAGCAACGUGGUGGAUCAAGCCGAUCCAAAUUCUCUUCCAUUUUCUUCUUUGAUUCAUCAACAGUCUGGUUAAUUUUCAAAUCCGGUGUCUUCUUUACAUCGUGCUCCAAUUCCACAUCCAAACUGGGCUUUUUACCAAUUCUCGAG
rnacentral:misc_RNA from 1 species